GAGUAGUUAGUUAAACAAUAACAUCACUUUGUCAAAGUGAAAUCACUAGUUAAACCCUGGUACUUCUCC
rnacentral:tRNA from 1 species